rnacentral:lncRNA from 1 species
CUCCAGCCGCUUGCCACAGUGAGUGGGCCACGCGGCGGUUAUAGACUGGCCAGAGGAGUCCUGCAGUCAUUAUUGCACUAGACCCCAUCGCCUAUUUAAACCCACCUCCCCCCUUCGGGGAUCUCACUUUGCAUGGAAGUUUCUUCGGUCCCUCCUUCAUUGCCGAUAUGGACAUGGAUGCAGCUUGGAUGUCAGCCAAGAGUCUCAAAGCCCACA